CCUGCCGCAUGGUGGGUGGUGGAAAGUUUUUUCGGCUGGGGAUGGGCCCGCGGCCUAUCAGCUUGUUGGUGGGGUGAUGGCCUACCAAGGCUUCGACGGGUAGCCGGCCUGAGAGGGCGACCGGCCACACUGGGACUGAGACACGGCCCAGACUCCUACGGGAGGCAGCAGUGGGGAAUAUUGCGCAAUGGGCGGAAGCCUGACGCAGCGACGCCGCGUGAGGGAUGACGGCCUUCGGGUUGUAAACCUCUUUCAGCAGGGACGAAUUUGACGGUACCUGUAGAAGAAGCACCGGCCAACUACGUGCCAGCAGCCGCGGUAAUACGUAGGGUGCGAGCGUUGUCCGGAAUUAUUGGGCGUAAAGAGCUCGUAGGCGGUCUGUCGCGUCGAAUGUGAAAACCCGGGGCUCAACUCCGGGCUUGCAUUCGAUACGGGCAGGCUAGAGUUCGGUAGGGGAGUCUGGAAUUCCUGGUGUAGC
rnacentral:rRNA from 1 species